AUUGAACGCUGGCGGCAGGCCUAACACAUGCAAGUCGAACGAGUGGCGGACGGGUGAGUAAUGUCUGGGAAACUGCCUGAUGGCGGGGGAUAACUACUGGAAACGGUAGCUAAUACCGCAUACCAUCAGAUGUGCCCAGAUGGGAUUAGCUUGUUGGUGGGGUAACGGCUCACCAAGGCGACGCUCCCUAGCUGGUCUAAGAGGCUGACCAGCCAAACUGGAACUGGACCACGGUCCAGACGCCUACGGGAGGCAGCCGUGGGGAAUAUUGAGCAAUGGGCGCAAGCCUGAUGCAGCCAUGCCGCGUGUAUGAAGAAGGCCUCCGGGUUGUAAAGUACUGUCAGCGGGGAGGCGUUACCCUCAGAAGAAGCACCGGCUAACUCCGUGCCAGCAGCCGCGGUAAUUC
rnacentral:rRNA from 1 species